AUUGCCUUUGCGCUCCCAGAGGUCCUCAGAGGAAAGAAGCAUCAGGAGCUGCUCUGAUCUCCUGUCUCUGUGCCAAGCACACUCUGCAGGAGGACAAGUUGAUGCCAGCUGCGUGUCUAAGCAAUAGCCAUCAUCCUGUUGUAUUUCCAACAGAGGAGGAAACACAUGGAGAGAUGGAAAUGGGGUGAGUAGAGGAGUCUAAUGUGGCAGAGGACAUUCAGAAACCUACUUAUUUCCAGUUCCAUGCUAGCAUUCCAUGAAGAGGCUCUGCUGCCCAGUGGCUGAUUCCUAUCCCUUAACUUCUAUGCUCCAAGUCCACUCCACAACCUGCUUUUCCAUAAUUCCUCUCAAUCCAGCAUCUUUUGGGGAGUUUUAAGGUACGGUUUUGACUCAUUAGCUUUGGGCUCAGAGCACAUCCAGUUUACUCAUGUGCUCUGGCAAGAGAGCAACACACGCCCGGAGCUGCGCGUGAUCCUGAGCUGAGCAGAGCACGGCUGUGCUGCGGUGCCUGUCCUGGGGAGUAGAGCAAGUGCAAGGAGCCCCUCUGGCAGGAGUACACAAGCCUGAUACGUGAUAGCCUUCGACGACAACUGUGAAAGAAGGAUUGAUGGACUUGCCAUAAUGCACAGAACGGGGAGCUUGGGCAGGAGAAAGACUUGUGCUUCUAGGAACAGGCAGGCAAAGUGGUCCAUCACCGGCAAGGCAAGCCAGCCACACCAGGAAACAAAACCAACGAAGAUUCAGUCUGGCCUGACUAGCAAGCAAUGAGCACUGCCAUCCUAUCCACUCAAGUUUACCUUCUCUAGUGAAGCUCUUAAAUCACACAAAAACACCUUCAGAAGCAACUAAGAAACAUUCAUAGGAAGCUCUGCUGAGAAACAUGUACACAUGACUCAAAAACCAUCUGCUUCUCUGUCACCUGAAAGACUUCGCAUAGAAAGAAUCAUGUGUUGAAUUUUAAGAAACCUCUGCCAUGGCACAGAAGGCAUAGGAAAGAAGAAAAAAAAAAUCUUUAAAGCUUCUUGGAAAAAGACAAAUACCAGAGAAGACCAGGAAUGCAAAGAACUCAGAUAAGGAGGCCCCUCUGUCUCCAAAUAUGUCAAGGAUGAUGGACUUAUCCAGAUAAGAUAGCAGAGGACCAAAAGCGCAUGCGCAGAGGAGAAGAGUUCAAAAGUUCAAUGCAGAGGAAGACUAUGGUUUCAGCCUCAGAAGACCAUCAGAGAUUCCCAAAAAGACCACCACAGAAAACCACGCAUGCCCAGAAGGGCGUGGACCUAUUCAGCAUGAAAGGUGAAGACAGGCGGGGCCAGGGCUUGAAUAUGCAUAGAAAAGUUGUGUAAUGUAUUGCAUAUAAAACACCUUUGUGAAUAAAAUUGUGGGACAAACUUCAGCUCGGGGCACAAGAUUUUGGAGAGCUAUCUUACUUGUGCCGGGCGCUGUCAUACAUACCCACUUCAUAACUACA